CGAAAGGCUUGCUGGAACAAUACACGGUGGCACCAGCAAACAGUCAUCAGCCAGCCACAAAAGUUGUUGUCAACACCAUUCAUUAACAAUAUAAUAUUUACAUAAUCUCGUAUCAUCUUGAGAUGGAUAAAACAAAGAUCGGAGACGCAUCCACAUCGCACAGUGAGUCAACUCAUCAAAGGAAUCAGCCUACUUAAGCAAGGAGGAAGGGAGAGAAGCCGCAAGGGAACCGUUAAUUUUGGUGGCUUGAAGUUGCAAGGGAGGUAGCUAGGCUGAGGCUGAGGUUGCUGCUGAUCAUGACUAACAGAUUGAGAAGAUACCUUAAGAUAAAUUCUCUAUCGUCAAGCAGAAACUGGGAUGAAGAACCAUCUGCCGCCAAAACCAACCGUCUGGAGUGGCUCAACAUCAACAUUAAUGAGAAUUCAACUAUUUUAGAGGAGAUUAGGAGGGCACAAAGGCCAAAAUGGAUAUACGAAAGGUGGAUGGUAAGGUACUGAAGGAGAAAGAUCGGGAGUUCAUAUAUUCACAUAAGGUACUUCACCCUGGAGCCCAGUUUCCUUUCUUAUUACAAAAGGAUACCGCAAGAUAACAAGGUUCCAAUCAAGACCCUUUUGAUUGAUGGCAAUUGUAGGGUAGAGGAUACAUGUUUGAAGACUCAUCAAGGACAUAUGAUUUACACUCUAUCUGUUUACAACAAGAAAGAAAAGAAUAAUGCAAUAACAUUUGUGGCAUAUGACAUCCAGGAAGCACUGAUCUGGAAGGAAAAAAUUGAAUCUCUAAUUGAUCAGCAUAACACUGUUAGUGAUAAAUAUGCCUUAUACAUGGAUCUGGUAUGGAUAAUGGGGUGACUGCUAGUUCAUCAGAAAAUGGAAGCCAGUUUGGUGAACAUGAGGGUGAAGACGACACUCAUACAAAUUUGUUCCGGAGAAAAACAAUUGGAAAUGAGGACCGGACACCAGAAUGUG